rnacentral:rRNA from 1 species
AUGAUCUCGAUCUCGAACUGUCGUCCAUCUAGAUGCCGCAUGGGACCAAGAGAGAAUCAGCCUGAAUCACCGCAUCAUCCUCCGAUCCGGCCGGCCCCCUCCGAACUGCCAGCGCCGGCGGCGGCGGAACCAAGGUCUCCAGGACCGGCGACGAAGGAACCGGCCCCCCCUGGAUUGCCAGCGCCGCCGGCGGCAGAACCGCGGUCACCAGUACCGGCGGCGGUGGAUCUGGAGGCCGCUGCAUUUCCGGCGUCAUUUCCGGUGCCCACACAUAUGCACUCUUCCCGACUUUUUUAUGUUCCUAUGUUCCAAAUACUCGUUAAAAUUAUGUCCAAAAUGACAGAUUUUUUUGAACUGGAGGGAGUAACUACUAUGUAA